rnacentral:piRNA from 1 species
UGCCUUUUGGAUGAAUGAUGCCAGGAUGU